GCGCCCGUAGCUCAGUGGAUAGAGCGUCAGCCUCCGGAGCUGAAAGUCACAGGUUCGAAUCCUGUCGGGCGUACCA
rnacentral:tRNA from 1 species